rnacentral:rRNA from 1 species
CCUACGGGUGGCAGCAGUGAGGAAUAUUGGUCAAUGGGCGAGAGCCUGAACCAGCCAAGUCGCGUGAGGGAGUACUGCCCUAUGGGUUGUAAACCUCUUUUGUCGGGGAGCAAAAGCCGGACGUGUCCGGCUGUGAGAGUACCCGAAGAAAAAGCAUCGGCUAACUCCGUGCCAGCAGCCGCGGUAAUACGGAGGAUGCGAGCGUUAUCCGGAUUUAUUGGGUUUAAAGGGUGCGCAGGCGGAUUGUUAAGUCAGCGGUAAAAUCGUGGGGCUCAACCCCAUCCAGCCGUUGAAACUGGGGAUCUAGAGUGUGCGAGAGGUAGGCGGAAUGCGUGGGGUAGCGGUGAAAUGCAUAGAUAUCACGCAGAACCCCGACUGCGAAGGCAGCAUACCGGUGCACAACUGACGCUCAGGCACGAAAGCGUGGGUAUCGAACAGGAUUAGAUACCCUUGUAGUC